AAUGGGACUAGGUCGUUACGGCGCACUCACUUCUUCCGGAAGCCCAAACAAUUUUCGAGAAAACAGUCCCUUCUUUGCCAUCAUCGCUUUUGAUAAUGAUUACUGCCAUGGACUUCUUAUUCGUGGCCGAUUGAUGCACGGUCGUCGGCGCCAUUAUG
rnacentral:rRNA from 1 species